rnacentral:rRNA from 1 species
ACGGAAAGGCUCCAGCUUGCUGGAGUACUCGAGUGGCGAACGGGUGAGUAACACGUGGGCAAUCUGCCCUGCACUCUGGGAUAAGCCUGGGAAACUGGGUCUAAUACUGGAUAGGACCUUUCUCCUCAUGGGGUUUGGUGGAAAGUUUUUCGGUGCAGGAUGAGCCCGCGGCCUAUCAGCUUGUUGGUGGGGUAAUGGCCUACCAAGGCGACGACGGGUAGCCGGCCUGAGAGGGUGAUCGGCCACAUUGGGACUGAGAUACGGCCCAGACUCCUACGGGAGGCAGCAGUGGGGAAUAUUGCACAAUGGGCGGAAGCCUGAUGCAGCGACGCCGCGUGAGGGAUGACGGCCUUCGGGUUGUAAACCUCUUUCAGUAGGGACGAAGCGUAAGUGACGGUACCUGCAGAAGAAGCACCGGCUAACUACGUGCCAGCAGCCGCGGUAAUACGUAGGGUGCGAGCGUUGUCCGGAAUUACUGGGCGUAAAGAGCUCGUAGGCGGUUUGUCACGUCGUCUGUGAAAUCCUAGGGCUUAACCCUGGACGUGCGGGCGAUACGGGCUGACUUGAGUACUACAGGGGAGACUGGAAUUUCUGGUGUAGCGGUGGAAUGCACAGAUAUCAGGAAGAACACCGAUGGCGAAGGCAGGUCUCUGGGUAGUAACUGACGCUGAGGAGCGAAAGCAUGGGUAG